rnacentral:rRNA from 1 species
UACGUAGGUGGCAAGCGUUGUUCGGAAUUACUGGGCGUAAAGGGCGCGUAGGCGGCCCGUCAAGUCCCGUGUGAAAGCCCCCGGCUCAACUGGGGAGGGUCACGCGAUACUGUUCGACUUGAAGGCAGGAGAGGGAAGUGGAAUUCCCGGUGUAGUGGUGAAAUGCGUAGAUAUCGGGAGGAACACCAGUGGCGAAGGCGACUUCCUGGCCUGUUCUUGACGCUGAGGCGCGAAAGCUAGGGUAGCAAACGGG